GCGCUAAUAGCUCAGUUGGGAGAGCGUCAGACUGAAGUCAAGUAAUAACUCGGGGUAAUCUGAAGGUCACCCGUUCAAUCCGGGUUUGGCGCA